rnacentral:rRNA from 1 species
AUUGAACGCUGGCGGAAUGCUUUACACAUGCAAGUCGAACGGCAGCACGGACUUCGGUCUGGUGGCGAGUGGCGAACGGGUGAGUAAUGUAUCGGAACGUGCCCAGUCGUGGGGGAUAACGUAGUGAAAAUUACGCUAAUACCGCAUACGAUCUAUGGAUGAAAGCGGGGGAUCGCAAGACCUCGCGCGAUUGGAGCGGCCGAUAUCAGAGUAGGUAGUUGGUGGGGUAAAGGCCCACCAAGCCAACGAUCUGUAGCUGGUCUGAGAGGACGACCAGCCACGCUGGAACUGAGACACGGUCCGGACUCCUACGGGAGGCAGCAGUGGGGAAUUUUAGACAAUGGGCGAAAGCCUGAUCCAGCCAUUCCGCGUGCAGGAUGAAGGCCCUCGGGUUGUAAACUGCUUUUGUACAGAACGAAAAGGUUUCUACUAAUACUAGGAGCUCAUGACGGUACUGUAAGAAUAAGCACCGGCUAACUACGUGCCAGCAGCCGCAGUAA